rnacentral:rRNA from 1 species
UACGAAGGGGGCUAGCGUUGCUCGGAAUCACUGGGCGUAAAGCGCACGUAGGCGGCUUCUUAAGUCAGGGGUGAAAUCCUGGAGCUCAACUCCAGAACUGCCUUUGAUACUGAGAAGCUUGAGUCCGGGAGAGGUGAGUGGAACUGCGAGUGUAGAGGUGAAAUUCGUAGAUGUUCGCAAGAACACCAGUGGCGAAGGCGGCUCACUGGCCCGGUACUGACGCUGAGGUGCGAAAGCGUAGGGAGCAAACAGG